AGGCAGCGAGGCCGCCCCCCGGUGCACCCCCGGCGGGUCGCUGGCGGCGGAGGGGCCGCGGGAUCCGUCCGCGCUCGCUGCCCCCGUGCAGAGCCCGAAGCAGCCUCGCCGCCUCCUCCUCCUCCUCCUCCUCCUCCUUCUCCUCCUCAUCCUCGUCCUCGUCCUCUUCCUCCACCGCGGCGGCGGCGGCGGCCCGCGGGUGACAUGCAGUCCCUCAUCUCUCCGGUGACCAAGGCUAUCCUGGUGGCUUUGUUCAUCUUCGCCAUCCUGCUGAUCCUCUACGUGAUCCUGUGGUACAUCUGCCGCGAUGUGGAUUGCGACCACGGCAUCUGAGCGGCGGCGCGGGGACAGGGCUUAGGAGACGGAUUCACCCCGCAGGAGCAGGCAGCGGGAGCCGCCGCCGGAGCGAGGGGAAGGAGGAAAAGGAAGAAGGAAAAAAAAAUAAUAAUAAAAAAAAAAAAAGAAAAAAAAAUAAUAAUAAACGGACCGAGCCGAGCCGCCGCCAGAGCACGGAGGACGACUGCGACCGAGCAGCCAGCCUGAGCCUGACCUUCAGAGAGCAGCGUGACCCGUGGCUUGAACUGUGCACUGAAGAUUGUUCCAAUGUGAGAGACUCGCCUCAGAGAGAACAACGGUCCAAAGCUGAAGACGACCAGCAUCACGUCAUCGAGACGUCCUCCUGUCACACGAGCUGAGCGAUUUCCCCUCCAGAUGAGCAUGAAGUAGAGGAACAUCAGGCUGCUGUCACUCAAGACAUGUUGACCUGCCCCACAGGGCUCCAGCCCCAUUUACCGGAGGGCUUGGGGAAGGAGUGAUCAUCGAAGGGCCCCGCAGCCUUCAGAUCUGUGACCCUGCUGCGACGAGCACUCGGUAUGAUUUGUGUGUUUACCAACACCUUGAGGGUGGGGUUGCAGGGAUUAAUUGUGCCAUGAUUAUAACAGCUAAAACUAGAUGGGACAUGACAAAUUCUGGGGCCGUGGCAGGGAACACAGUGUCAGUGUAAGAAGUGUAUUAAACCUUAAGUGUUAGAAGGCUGUAUCAUUUCUUCUUUUGUUGCUAUAUUGGUGGUCUUGCAUUCAUAAUGUUAAUGACAGUCCUGGUGUGGUUACAGGGAUUUCUAAAGUACCAAAACGUUUGCCCUUCACCCAAAGAUCGGUGUCCAUAUACCGGAAUUACCCAUCAGUCACAUACCAUUAGGCACUUGUCUGCUGCCUCCCUCCUGCGGGGUGCUGCUUCGGGGGCACAAUCUGAAGCUAAAAUGUACAGAGAACUUACACUGCCAUCGCUCAACAGAUGACUUUUUUCCCCCCAUUCUUCUCUGCGGCAUGAGGGUUUUCUGCUUUUUCCUCUAAGCUGUAAUCUUCUGAACUGUGACUAUUUAGUGCAUAACGCAGUUUGUAGACAAACUGCGAAUUGAUUUUCCUGAAGUGGGCUGACAAAAUGAUGAGUGUAUUGGAAAGCAGCACACACUUGGUUAUUUGUUGUUCUACAUUAAGCUAGGUUUUUCAAGUAAAUGUCCUUUAAAAUAGCCUUUUUCAUUUUAGUGUGCUGCUUUUAAUGUGCAUGCUUAAUAUGGUUCAUAUGGUUCAGUUGCACAGCGGUAUCUGCUCUUGUUACAGGCACUCUGGUAGCUUUCAAAAUUUUAUCCAAAUGAGGAAAUUUGAGCUUCAGCUUGGAGGGGCUCAUAACAUUGGCUGCUGCUGAGAAUUAUGUCCUUAUUUUGAAUGCUCUGAGGUACUACUUUUGAAUACUAAAGAUUCUUUGUGGCAUUUUACCGAGUCACCCCACCCUUAAAUCAUAUCUAAAUGAUACCAACAAGGUGACUUUCAGAGUUUCUUUGUAGAACACACUAUGAGAAAAGGAUGCAAAAAAAAAAUUGAUUGCGACUGAUUAAGAAAGAGACAGGAACUGGAAAAUAAGGAAUGUUGCAUCAGGUUGGGAGAGGAGAGACUGCAGAGCAUUUCAGUUUUAGGAAGUGCAUCUGACAUGGAGUAAAAUGCUAAGCUCACAGGACUAAAAUUGCCA
rnacentral:lncRNA from 1 species